AUUUGUCCCAACUGUGCACAAUUUGUAGACCUUUUUUAGGUCUAUGUUUUCACAAUCUCUGAAUGUAUUAGAAUGGUGUCUGGGGAAUACAAUACAACUUUCAGCAACGGAUCUCUUGGCUCUCGCAUCGAUGUAGAACGCAGCGAAAUGCGAUAAGUAAUGUGAAUWGCAGAAUUCAGUGAAUCAUCGAAUUUUUGAACGCAUCUUGCGCUCCUUGGUAUUCCGAGGAGCAUGCCUGUUUGAGUGUCAUUUAAMACUUCUCAACCAAUGUGGCUUGGAAAUGGAGGAGGCAGGCUUAUAAAAGUCUGCUCCUCUGAAAUGUAUUAGUGGUGUCUUGGCAAACUACCACAGGUGUGAUAACUAUCAAUGCCUUGGUAUGCAUAUACUAUGCUGCUUCUAAUCUUAAAUGACCAACUUGACCUCAAAUCAGGUAGGAUUACCCGCUGAACUUAAGCAUAUCAAUAAGCGGAG
rnacentral:sRNA from 1 species